rnacentral:rRNA from 1 species
UACGUAGGGGGCAAGCGUUGUCCGGAUUUAUUGGGCGUAAAGAGCGUGUAGGCGGUUUGGUAGGUCCGUUGUGAAAACUCGAGGCUCAACCUCGAGACGCCGAUGGAAACCAUCAGACUAGAGUCCGGAAGAGGAGACUGGAAUUCCUGGUGUAGCGGUGAAAUGCGCAGAUAUCAGGAGGAACACCGAUGGCGAAGGCAGGUCUCUGGGCCACUACCUGACGCUGAGAAGCGAAAGCAUGGGGAGCGAACAGG